GAUAGCGGAUAGUACCGUGAGGGAAUGGUGAAAAGUACCGCGGGAGCGGAGUGAAAUAGUACCUGAAACCGUGUGCCUACAAGCCGUGGGAGCGUCGGACAUCAAGCUUGCUUGGUGUCUCGUGACUGCGUGCCUUUUGAAGAAUGAGCCUGCGAGUUUGCGGUGUGUUGCGAGGUUAACCCGGGUGGGGAAGCCGUAGCGAAAGCGAGUCCGAAC
rnacentral:rRNA from 1 species